GAGGAAAUCCCAUGGGCUGAGGCUGGAGCAGAGUACAUCGUGGAGUCAACUGGAGUCUUCACUGAUAAAGACAAGGCUGCUGCCCACUUGAAGGGUGGUGCUAAGAAAGUAGUUAUUUCUGCUCCUAGCAAGGAUGCACCUAUGUUUGUUGUUGGUGUCAAUGAAAAGGAAUACAAGCCAGACCUCAACAUCGUUUCUAAUGCUAGCUGUACUACUAACUGCCUUGCACCUCUGGCAAAGGUUAUUCAUGACAGGUUUGGAAUCGUUGAGGGUCUUAUGACUACAGUUCACUCCAUAACUGCCACCCAGAAAACUGUUGAUGGACCAUCAGCUAAGGACUGGAGGGGAGGAAGAGCUGCAUCAUUCAACAUUAUCCCCAGCAGCACUGGAGCUGCAAAGGCUGUUGGAAAGGUGCUACCAUCAUUGAAUGGAAAGUUAACAGGAAUGUCUUUCCGAGUUCCAACAGUCGAUGUCUCUGUGGUUGAUCUCACUGUGAGGUUGGAGAAAGAAGCCACCUAUGAUGAAAUCAAGGCUGCUAUCAAGGAGGAGUCUGAAGGAAAAUUAAAGGGAAUUCUUGGAUACACUGAAGAUGACGUGGUAUCUACAGACUUUCUUGGGGACAACAGAUCAAGUAUCUUUGACGCCAAGGCUGGAAUUGCUUUGAGCAAGAACUUUGUGAAGCUUGUUUCUUGGUAUGACAACGAAAUGGGCUACAGCACACGAGUGGUCGACUUGAUUAAGCACAUGGCAUCAGUCCAGUAAAGUGGCAGUUCCGAGUAUGAUGGUGCGUUACUGAGCAUAUUUAGAAGAGGAAAAAAGCUUUAGAAUAAAGUAAAAUGAGAAGCUGUUUGACGAGUUUGGAGGUGGCUGUCUGUUUACUAUUGUAUUUUCAUUUGGGGUCUCUUGUUGGAUUGUUGUUUUCCCCAAUUUUCAAAUGUGUCUGCAAAACUGUCUGGAUAUGUUGUUUUGUCUUGCUAUCAAUGUAUAAUAACGUUGGACCCGCG
rnacentral:misc_RNA from 1 species